rnacentral:rRNA from 1 species
GACGAACCGUGCGAACGUUGUUCGGAAUCACUGGGCUUAAAGGGCGCGUAGGCGGUUCACCAAGUCCGGGGUGAAAGCUUUCGGCUUAACCGGAAAAGGGCCUUGGAUACUGGUGGUCUCGAGGGAGGUAGGGGUCUGCGGAACUUCUGGUGGAGCGGUGAAAUGCGUUGAUAUCAGAAGGAACGCCGGUGGCGAAAGCGGCGGACUGGACCUCUUCUGACGCUGAGGCGCGAAAGCCAGGGGAGCAAACGGG